ACCGCGGGGCCAUGCAGACGGCCAGCACUCGACUUUGCCUAAAAAAGGAAGCAGCAGGCUGAGUCUGAGGAGCUGGCGGCACGAACAAGGGAGAGCUGUGUCCCCGCCGGCGUCCCCUGCCCCCCCCCGCCAGGGAUCUUGGCAGUGGAGGUGUUGGCUGGGCUCCACAGACCUCAGACCUCGGCUGGGACCAGAAAUGCCUGCUGCUUCCGCCUGGGCCCGGUGGGGGGACUUUGGGUCCCCAGAGUGCCAGCUGUGCCACUUCGAGGGGCCUCGCCAGGCUCCCCAGCCCCGAGUACACAGGGGCUGCUGUGGAGAUGACGCUCAAGGCCGCAGCCGCUGGAGGACCUGGGGUCUGACCGGAAGCUGGCUGCAGACCCUGCGGAGGCCCAGCUGUUGUUUUCAUGGCUCCGGGACCAGGCGGAUCCUCAGCCAAGAGCUUCCCAGGAGAGCCCUCAUCUUCAACCCCUAGUGGCGGCCAGAGCCAGCCCAGGCAGGACGGGAAGGAAGG
rnacentral:lncRNA from 1 species